AAAGGGAAGCAAAGCCGCGAGGCGGAGCGAAUCCCCAAAAGGCGUCUCAGUUCGGAUUGCAGGCUGCAACUCGCCUGUAUGAAGUCGGAAUUGCUAGUAAUCGUGGAUCAGCAUGCCACGGUGAAUACGUUCCCGGGCCUUGUACACACCGCCCGUCACACCAUGAGAGCCGGGAACACCCGAAGUCCGUAGUCUAACCUAUAUGGAGGACGCGGCCGAAGGUGGGUUUGGUAAUUGGGGUGAAGUCGUAACAAGGUAGC
rnacentral:rRNA from 1 species